rnacentral:misc_RNA from 1 species
GAUGAAGAACGCAGCGAAAUGCGACAAGUAAUGUGAAUUGCAGAAUUCCGUGAAUCAUCGAAUCUUUGAACGCACAUUGCGCCCUCUGGUAUUCUGGAGGGCAUGCCUGUCCGAGCGUCAUUGCUAUACCUCAAGCCCGGCUUGUGUGUUGGGCCUCCGUCCUCCUCCCGGGGGACGGGCCCGAAAGGCAGCGGCGGCACCGCGUCCGGUCCUCGAGCGUAUGGGGCUUCGUCACCCGCUCUUGUAGGCCCGGCCGGCGCUUGCCGACACAUCAAUCUUUUUUCCAGGUUGACCUCGGAUCAGGUAGGGAUACCCGCUGAACUUAAGCAUAUCAAUAAGCGGAGGA